GACGAACGCUGGCGGCGUACUUAACACAUGCAAGUCGAACGAUGAAGCUGGAGCUUGCUCCGGUGGAUUAGUGGCGAACGGGUGAGUAACACGUGAGUAAUCUGCCCUUGACUCUGGGAUAACUGCGGGAAACUGUAGCUAAUACCGGAUACGACACCUUCGGGCAUCCGAUGGGUGUGGAAAGAAUUUCGGUCAAGGAUGAACUCGCGGCCUAUCAGCUAGUUGGUGAGGUAAUGGCUCACCAAGGCGACGACGGGUAGCCGGCCUGAGAGGGUGACCGGCCACACUGGGACUGAGACACGGCCCAGACUCCUACGGGAGGCAGCAGUGGGGAAUAUUGCACAAUGGGCGAAAGCCUGAUGCAGCAACGCCGCGUGAGGGAUGAAGGCCUUCGGGUUGUAAACCUCUUUUAGUUGGGAAGAAGCGAAAGUGACGGUACCAACAGAAAAAGCACCGGCUAACUACGUGCCAGCAGCCGCGGUAA
rnacentral:rRNA from 1 species